UCGAGGUCCUGUGGUCCAUGGGGAUGCCCAGGGAGGGAAAGCUUAAGGAGAGUCAGGCAUGUCUGUGUCCAGGCUAUUCUUGUCAAGACUGCUUCUCCCCAGCCAAUUAGAAGGGGGGGAAAGGCACACUGCAGAAGAGAAGAGGCCAGGGAAUCAGUCACUGGUUUCUGUCCCGUCACUCCAUGGGCCUCCAAACCUCAGGCUGGAGUUUCCUCUGAAGACCACCCAGAGAGGGUGCAAAGCUGUGGGCGGCUGGUGAUUCAGAGCAGUUUUUCUAAUGUCUGGUCACGUGGUUGCUGAAGCCACUGAAGAAGUUGUUGAUGCAUUUUCCCAGUCCUUUUCCCCAUUUCGACUGCCACAACGACUUGGAGACAAGAAGCCUUCUACAGACUCAGAUCUAAGUGCAGGUAGAAUGGAAACAGUGAGGAUGAAGUCAUCCUGGAAUCUACCUUGAAGUGAAGUCAGAGCUACAGGAACCAUCCAUGAGAACACUCACUACCUCCUUGUGGACGAACAACACGAGGCUGAACGAACGAUGGCUUCACAACUUCAAACCACCAGAAGAGUUCUGCCAUGAACACCAAGUUUUGUCUCAAGUCCUAGGACCUGAAAGAUUCCUUCUUCCGGACGUAUUCCAUGGUCCUGUUGAGUGGUGAAAGUGGCCAGAACCUCCUCCAUGCUCCCACUACGCUACACCAGCAUCUACCGAAGACUCAGAAACACGUACUGGCUUAUCCUCCGUCUUGCUAACAUUAGGGCAACAGAUCAAUUUUGUAUUACAACUUUAAGUUAAACUUUGCAUUGUAAAAGAAACCUAUAGCUAAUAAUGUAUUUAAAAACACACACAUAAAAU